rnacentral:rRNA from 2 species
AGGGGGUUUCCGCCCCUUAGUGCUGCAGCUAACGCAUUAAGCACUCCGCCUGGGGAGUACGGUCGCAAGACUGAAACUCAAAGGAAUUGACGGGGGCCCGCACAAGCGGUGGAGCAUGUGGUUUAAUUCGAAGCAACGCGAAGAACCUUACCAGGUCUUGACAUCCUCUGACAACCCUAGAGAUAGGGCUUUCCCUUCGGGGACAGAGUGACAGGUGGUGCAUGGUUGUCGUCAGCUCGUGUCGUGAGAUGACUGGGAUAACUCCCGCAAACCGAGAGCUAACACCGUGAUAGUUACUUGAACCAGCAUGGUUCAAGGAUGAAAGACGGUUUCGGCUGUCACUCUACAGAUGGACCCGCCGGCGACAAUACCGGAGGAAGGUGGGGUAAUGACGUCACCAAGGCGAUCGAUGCCCCGUAGCCGACCUGAGAGCGUACACACGUGCCACAAUGGGACAGAGACAAAGGCCUGCAAGACUCGCAACGGGUUAGCCAAUCCCAGUAGGGAAUCUGUCCGCAAUUCGGAUCGAAAGUCUGACAGAGCAACGACCGCGUGAAGCUGGAAUCGAUAGGUAAUCGCGGAUCAGCAAAGCUCUGCGGUUAGGGAAGAACAAGUGCCCGAGCCAUGUACACACCGCCCGUCACACCACGACGAGUACGCAACACCAGAAAGUCGCUGACGGCUAACCUUUACGUGCCAGCCAGCCGCCGUAAUACGUAGGUGGCAGAUGAGUUGGCCGUGAAGUCGUAUUGGGCGUAAAGGGCUCGCAGGCGGUUUCUUAAGUCUGAUGUGAAAGCCCCCGGCUCAACCGGGGAGGGUCAUUGGAAACUGGGAAACUUGAGUGCAGAAGAGGAGAGUGGAAUUCCACGUGUAGCGGUGAAAUGCGUAGAGAUGUGGAGGAACACCAGUGGCGAAGGCGACUCUCUGGUCUGUAACUGACGCUGAGGAGCGAAAGCGUGGGGAGCGAACAGGAUUAGAUACCCUGGUAGUCCACGCCGUAAACGAUGAGUGCUAAGUGUUAGGGGGUUUCCGCCCCUUA